rnacentral:sRNA from 10 species
UGAUACCAGGGUCAAAAGGUCUAAACCCACAUGAGCUUGCUCAUAGGUGGGUGAAAGACAUUGGGACCCGCCCCGAUAUGAGCAUAAAAGUGGGAUGAUAAUCCCAUGAUAUGCGAAUAUUUGGGAGAAUAUAUAUUACAUAUUUCA